rnacentral:rRNA from 1 species
AUUGAUCGCUGGCGGCAGGCCUAACACAUGCAAGUCGAACGCAGUGGGGACGGGUGAGUAACACGUGGGUAACCUCCCAUCAGAGGGGAUAACACUUGGAAACAGGUGCUAAACCGAUCCAGAUGGAUGAACCCGCGGUGCAUUAGCGAGUUGGGGAGGUAACGGCUCACCAAGGCCACGAUGCAUAGCCGACCGGAGAGGGGGAUCGGCAACACUUGGACUGACGCACGGCCCAGACUCCGACGCGAGGCAGCAGUAGGGAAUCGUCGGCAAUGGACGAAGGUCUGACCGAGCAACGCCGCGUGAGUGAAGAAGGUUUUCGGAUCGGAAAACUCUGUGGUUAGAGAAGCGGUAUCUAACCAGAAAGCCACGGCUAACUACGUGCCAGCAGCCGCGGUAAUAC